UCGAUGUUGUCCCAUCCUAGUUGACCUGAGUGGUCGGUUCUUGUGCUUCUUUACAGUUGAUGACCUAUGCGGUCGAUAGGCCCUGGGGGGCAGGAUUGUCGGCUGGUUGCCGACGGUUGAUCAUUGACCAUAUUGCAUUGAUCGCCCGAUACUCGUCGCAUUUCACGAACACUGGCGGUCUGAUCCACCGCAAGGAGUGUUCUUUUCCGGAAAAGUGGUUGAAUGGUGACAACCCGUGAGCCCUAGAGGGGUUAUAUGCAUGUUAGAGCGGCAGUGGUACUGUCGGGAGGUGUUGCGGUGCGGACCUCCAGGGCAUUGGCUUGAGGUCUGCGGUGCUGACCAAGAGAGCAUUGGUUUCAGAUUGGGUACUUUUGGACUGAUUGUCCCAUUGACGCAUAUGUUUAUAGUAGCAGUCGUUGCAUGCAUACUUACAGAUCUUACUUUAUAGUUGUCUUGCUACUAUAGUAGAUAUUCAUGUAUGCUUUCUGUUCCAGUUACAGUAGCGGUAGCCAUUAUUCAGUCUAGCUCCUGCUCUCUUUCAGUUUAUUGCUACUGUAUUUAGUAUAUCUGCUCAUUACCUUAUACAUCUCUUACGUUUACUACUGUUCCUACUGUAUUCCCACUGACCCGUACUGUUAUAUAGCUCUUCCUGAUCCGGUGAGUACUCCUCGCCUUCUUCGGCUUGCGGUACCCACUGGGAGGGGAGACAUGUUUACAUGUUCUCACCUCCCCCACCAUUUUUCAGGUAUCGCGGGCGAUGAUUAGUGGGACGAGACGUGAGGUACGUGUGUAGCGGUCGAUAGAGCUUCCGACCCAGGUUAUUUCGAUUUAGUUAUUACCCUUAUUAUUUCUGUUGAUUUAUAGCUUAGUCGGUUUACAUGGUUCAGUUUUGUGUUAUUAUCUGAAUAUCUGAGUUUUCAGUUGGUUUUGGAAUGUAAUAAAGGAUUUGUGUUUUCUUGAAAUAAAAAUGGUUUUCUACCCCUCGUGGUAGCGUUUUAAAAAGAUAAAAGUUUCCAUGUAGGGAAUAGUUUUCAAAGGGUUUUCUGUGAUUUUGUAUCUUAGUAUUUCAAAACCUGUUUCUGUGGUUGGAAACAUUUUAACUGAUAGAUGUGAAUUUAUAUUUAAAUAUUGAAUGGAAAAAUGUGAAUCUGUGGUGAAUGGUGUAUGAAUAUAUAACUGUGGUUAUUUGUAUGUUCAUCUGGUUGUGGUUGUAUCAUGUUUGAACUCUUGUACUUGUGCGACGCCGUGCAAAUACAGGGGAGACUCUGUCCGUGUGAACAGUGCAUCUCCUGUAUUUGUGGCGGAUCUGGCAUACCCUGGGGUCAGA
rnacentral:lncRNA from 1 species